rfam:Ixodes scapularis strain Wikel colony gcontig_1108378924950, whole genome shotgun sequence.
CCCUGGUUAGCUCAGAUGGUAGAGGGCUCCACCUGUAAUGGAGAGGUCCCGGGUUCGAUACCCGGACCAGGCG